ensembl:lncRNA
ACUAUCCCUCUCUUCCGGAGUUCUCUUCCGGCCGUUGUCCUUAGUUACCCCUCCCCCGCCCAGAGCGCCGACAAUGGCGUUGCCUGGAAACAGAGCUGUUCGAAGCCACUGACCUCCAGGGGCUGAAGUCUCGUAGAGUCUUUGCCACUGAGCUAACCAGGGAAGCCUCCACUGUGCAGCCCUCCAGUGACCACAUUGUGGAACCUCUACUAAGAAGAGAAAGAAUGAGUAGUUGACUAAACCUAUCUCUUUAAGGACACACAUCUCUUUAAGUCAAUGACUAUUCAGAAAUGAAAUCCAUUCAUUCUGACUUAUGCAAGCUACAUCUCAAAAAUUCAGAAUAAAUGUAUUACAGCAAUUAUAAGACCUGUAAUCAGUAAUUUACUCUAGAGUAAUCAUUCUAAAUCUUACACUGUGUAUGUCCUGAUAUGUCCUAAUGCUUCUAUCUGCAUCCAAACUACAUCAGAACCAAACAGUUCAUUCCUG